UGGAUCUUGCAAUGGAGCAAGUCUGAGGAGCAACGCCGCGUGAGUGAAGAAGGCUUUCGGGUCGUAAAACUCUGUUGUUGGAGAAGAAUGGUCGGCAGAGUAACUGUUGUCGGCGUGACGGUAUCCAACCAGAAAGCCACGGCUAACUACGUGCCAGCAGCCGCGGUAAU
rnacentral:rRNA from 1 species